UACAGGGGGUGCAAACGCUGCUCGGAAUCAUUGGGCGUAAAGCGCACGUAGGCGGUUCGUUAUGUCGGAUGUGAAAGCCCUUGGCUUAACCGAGGAAGUGCAUCCGAAACUGGCGAGCUAGAGUACGAAAGAGGAUCGCGGAAUUCCCGGUGUAGAGGUGAAAUGCGUAGAGAUCGGGAGGAACACCUGUGGCGAAGGCGGCCCCCUGGGCCGGCCCUGACACUGAGACGCGAAGGCGUGGGGAGCGAACGGG
rnacentral:rRNA from 1 species